rnacentral:rRNA from 1 species
CAAUAGCGUAUAUUAAAGUUGUUGCAGUUAAAAGCUCGUAGUUGGAUUUCUGGCUGGAGCGAUCGGUCCGCCCCGCAAGGGGUGUGUACUAGCGUCGUCUCCGACCAUCCUUGUGGGAACUGUGCGGCCGUUAACUCGGUUGUAUAUGGGAACACAUCGUUUACUGUGAAAAAUUAGAGUGUUUAAAGCAGGCUUAAGCCGUUGAAUACAUUAGCAUGGAAUAAUAAGAUAAGACUUGGGUCAUUAUUUUGUUGGUUUGCGGAUCGAGGUAAUGAUUAAUAGGGAUAGUUGGGGGUAUUCAUAUUUAAUUGUCAGAGGUGAAAUUCUUAGAUUGCGUUACGGCGAACUACUGCGAAAGCAUUUGCCAAAGAUGUUUUCAUUGAUCAAGAACGAAAGUAUGGGGAUCGAAGACGAUUAGAUACCAU